UACGGGGGGGGCAAGCGUUGUUCGGAAUUACUGGGCGUAAAGGGCUCGUAGGUGGCCAACUAAGUCAGACGUGAAAUCCCUCGGCUUAACCGGGGAACUGCGUCUGAUACUGGAUGGCUUGAGUUUGGGAGAGGGACGCGGAAUUCCAGGUGUAGCGGUGAAAUGCGUAGAUAUCUGGAGGAACACCGGUGGCGAAGGCGGCGUCCUGGACCAACACUGACACUGAGGAGCGAAAGCCAGGGGAGCAAACAGG
rnacentral:rRNA from 1 species